GACUUGAGGCAGGAGCUAACCUAAGAGAAAACAGCCUGCGAACCUGUGCGGAGAAGCUGCUGGAGCUCCAGGACCUACGUCUGCCUGGACUGUGUUCUGGAGGCAUCAGAAGAGAUUCCACCCAGAAGAAUACAUACUGGAAGGGACCACAUCUUGAGAAGACAGCCAUUCAUCACAUGGGACCCAACGUACCGGGGCUCAGAACACCCUCUUCCCAGUAAGUUCAUUCUUUCUUGCUGAGAAUGUAAUAGGCUCACUCUAAAAAUUAUAGCCACAUGGAAAAUAGAGGGUUAUGUUAAGACAGAGUGGCUGGAGACUGGGUGGGCAGCUGCUACCCUCUGUCCCAGUUAUAGCCACUACAGUCCAUGUAUUAACCUUGUAAGACCAACCCAGAGAUAUAUGUUUGCUCAUAGUUUCAGAAAACAACUUAGAGGUGAUGACCAUUAAUAAAAUUAUGGGUAGCAGCCUGGAUAAUAGCCAUAAAAAUGAGAGGAGGGGGUAGAAUGGAAAGACGUUGGUCAAAGGAAAACCAUGGGAUCAAACAGGCUCACUGACCUAUAUUACAUCAUAGCACAAAUAUUGAGUUGCUUAGUGUAGUGUUUUGAAUAAGAAUGGCCUUCAUAGGUUCUUGUGCUUGAAUACUUGGUCCCCAGUUGGUAGAACUGUUUGGUAAGGAUCAGGAGGUGAAGACUUGUUAUAGAAAGUGUGUUACUGGGUGGGAUUUGAGCUUUCAGAAGCCUAUGCCACACCCAGUUCUCUCUCUCUUCCUCUCUCCUUCCCUCCUUUCUUCCCCCUUCACUCUCCCCUCUCCCCUCUACUUUAUGGUUGUGUCUCAAGAUGUAAGCCCUCAGCUAUGGCUCCAUGCCAUGCUUGCCUGCCUGCUGCUGUGCCCCUCCCCUUCCCCAUCAUGAUGGUCAUGGGCUCGUUCUUUGAUACUGUAAGCCGCAAGUUUCCUUUUUGUAAGUUGCUGUGGUCGUGGUGUUUUGUCGUGGCCAUAGAAAAGUAACUAGGAUACCAGUGACAAACAAAAGUGUGUGUUCAUUCCUCACGGGGGAGAGGAAGAGGUGUACACACUCUUAGAGGAUGAGGAGGAAGUGGCUGGGGAAGAUGGAUGAGUCUAAGGAAUGGACUACAGCUUGGGACGAAGCUCCUUGAACUCUGGCAAGGCACCAAUGCAAGCCUUCUCUCCAGACACACACACACACACACACACAAGUAUACACACAUACACACAAGUACACACACACAUGCACACAUAUGCAUGCACACACACAUACACAGACACACGUGGACAGACACACAUGGAUAUACGCGUACAGGACGUGACUAUGGUAACUAGUUUGGUUUAACCAUUCCACAUUAUAUCUAUCAACACAUCACAUUGUACCCCCGCACAUAUAUGCAAUCAUAAUUCACCAAUAAAAAAGAGAAUUUUGGAGACUGGAGAGGUGACUCAGUGUUAAAAAAAAAACUAAUACUAUUUUUCUAGAGGAACUGAGUUAAAUUCCCAGCAUCCACAUUGGGUAGCCUGUAACUCCAUAUCCAGAGGUCAACAUCUUUGGCCUCCAUAGGUACCCACAUACAUACAUGCAUACAUAGAAAUAAAAACUUUCAAGU
rnacentral:lncRNA from 1 species